GACACAAACAAGAGCUCAAGGAUGGUGGCUGGGGUUCAGUCUGCCGCUGCAAAUACCAAAAGCUGUCCUCAUUGAGUCAUCCCUCCCAGAGCAGGAAGAGCAGAGGUUCUGGGAAACAACCCCAAGGAGAGAGACAGGGCAUUUAUAAAACAGCAUGUAAGCAUCUCUGCAGUUGCUGUCCCCAGAGCCCACUUCCUGGAUAUUGCCAGCUGCCUGGACCAACCUUUCCGAAAGAUCAGCCAGGUCACAGUGAGGGUCAAAGGAGGCCACUGGAGGCUCCAAGGGCUCUGAAAUGUUGAGAACUUCCCUGCAGGUACCAGCGAAGAGGGCAAGAACACAGCACUACUUCCUUGGAUACUGUUUCCCUCCUCAGAGGGGUUUUCUGAGCUGCCCUGGGUCCUGUGAGGAAGAUCUCCCCUUCCUGUAAAGACACCAGUCCUACUGGAUCAGGGCCCACCCGUGUGACUUCACUUUUACUUGAGUACCUCUCACAGACCCUAACUCCAAAUCAGGUCACUUGCUGAGGUACUGCAUGUGAAGACUUUGACAUUUGAAUUUUGAGGGGGCCACCGUUUAACCUGAACCACCAAGGACAGAGCCAAAGACCCUGGGUGACAGGCCCAGAACAGGACCUGGUGGAGGCUCUUCUUUAGGGGAGAGAGGGAAAUGGGAGCCACCACUGGCAGAGCCUGAAGGCAGGGCAGCCAGAAAGAAGCUGUGGGAGUCCCCACCAUGGAAGACCCUGCCGAGCAUCCUGUGUCUCCUGAAGCAGACCCUGACAUGAGGACUGGGGGCACGUGUUUAUUAAGGGCGAUCCCCGGAAGGAGGAGAUAACCAGGCAGAAGUCCUAGCAGAGUAUGCCCACGCUGGUUAGUGCUGCUGCAAAGAUGAGCCGAAGACCAUGAGAGACCUCCAGGUGGUCCUUCUGGGGAGAAGAAAUGGGUUUUGGCCCCAAAUCCUUCUGCUGCAUUUUUCCCCUAUCCCUGGGAAGCCAUGAGACCUCAAACCUGUGUUCCCAAGGAGGCGAGCUGCUGUUCCCAGGUGAUGAUAUGAUGUGCUUGGGGAAAGUAAGUGGCUGCCAGACAUGGCUGAGAGCUGUUGUCACUGCCGUCAAGUGCAUGUCUCCAAGCCAUAUCACACGGCGUCCCUCGAUGUGAGGCCACAUGGCAAGUGGGCCGUGGAUCUCCCUCUGCCCUUUGCAAGCACGUAAGACAGCAGAUUUUGCAGAUACCUUGUGGCGCAGGGGAAUUUCCUUUGGCCAGGUCUGAAGAAAUAAAGCAGCAGGCACCGAGAACAAAGCCAAGGCUUUCAAAAGACAAGGAGCCAAAAAACUUACUCAAAAUAAAAGUAGUUUUAAAAUGUCU
ensembl:lncRNA novel transcript